GACGAACGCUGGCGGCGUGCUUAACACAUGCAAGUCGAACGGAAAGGCCCUGCUUUUGUGGGGUGCUCGAGUGGCGAACGGGUGAGUAACACGUGAGUAACCUGCCCUUGACUUUGGGAUAACUUCAGGAAACUGGGGCUAAUACCGUAUAGGAGCUCCUGCUGCAUGGUGGGGGUUGGAAAGUUUCGGCGGUUGGGGAUGGACUCGCGGCUUAUCAGCUUGUUGGUGGGGGAGUGGCUUACCAAGGCUUUGACGGGUAGCCGGCCUGAGAGGGUGACCGGCCACAUUGGGACUGAGAUACGGCCCAGACUCCUACGGGAGGCAGCAGUGGGGAAUAUUGCACAAUGGGCGGAAGCCUGAUGCAGCAACGCCGCGUGCGGGAUGACGGCCUUCGGGUUGUAAACCGCUUUCGCCUGUGACGAAGCGUGAGUGACGGUAAUGGGUAAAGAAGCACCGGCUAACUACGUG
rnacentral:rRNA from 1 species